rfam:Oryza barthii chromosome 2, whole genome shotgun sequence.
AAAAAGAUAAACUCUGAUUUUCGUAUCCAACGUUUGACCGUCCGUCUUAUUUAAAAAAAUUAUAAAAAAACUAAAAAGACAAGUCACGUAUAAAAUAUUAAUCAUGUUUUAUCAUCUAACAACAGUAAAAAUACAAAUUAUAAAAUAAUUUCAUAUAAAACGGACAGUCAAAGUUGGACACGGAAACCCAAAGUUUGCCUUUUU